rnacentral:rRNA from 1 species
AGAGAGAGACAUGCGCGCAUAUCAAUAAGCGGAGGAAAAGGAAACUAACAAGGAUUCCCCUAGUAACGGCGAGUGAAGCGGGAAGAGCUCAAAUUUGAAAUCUUAAAGGGUUUCCCUUUACGAAUUGUAGUUUAAAGAAGUGUUUUCUGUUGAGGUUUUGGUAAAAGUUCUUUGGAAUAGGACAUCAUAGAGGGUGAGAAUCCCGUAUUUGACCUUUACUUUCAACUUUGUGAUACACUUUCAAAGAGUCGGAUUGUUUGGGAAUGCAGUCCAAAAUGGGUGGUAAAUUUCAUCUAAAGCUAAAUAUUGGCGAGAGACUGAUAGCGAACAAGUACCGUGAGGGAAAGAUGAAAAGAACUUUGAAAAGAGAGUUAAACAGUACGUGAAAUUGUCAAAAGGGAAGCGUUUGACACCAGUGUUGUUUUUCUGAAAAUCAAUUAAAGAACUGUUUAUGCUAAGCUGUUUAGACUUUAUCAGCUAUCUGUUUAGUUUUGAGCUUUUCUUUAAUGCACUUUUCAGUUAACAAGUCAACAUCAAUUUCUUUUGCUGUAAAAAAGCUUGAGGAAGGUGGCUUGAGAUUCGUCUUAAGUGUUUAUAGCCUCUUGCCUAUGCAGUCGGAGAGAUUGAGGUCUGCAGCGUAGAUCCUUCGGGGCUAAAUGCAGCUUGUGCUAAGUUAUAGCAUUUUAUAGACAACUUGUUGACUAUGAUUUGUCUUGUAGCUUACUCGCUUAUGUUAUUUUACCUACGCUUAGGAUGUUGACGCAUGAGAUAUACGC